CCCCGCCGCGCCCGGCCCCCACCCGAGCGGGGUCUCCCUCCUUCCCGCAGGCACCUCGAGACCUCCCUGCAGACACCCGGCACCCCCUGCCCGGCGCCCUGCAACCAGCCCCGGCCCCAAAGCCACCCCCCGAAAUCCCAAGGUUUUCCUGCAGGCACAGCUACUCGAAGCUCAGGGGAUGGGAAAAGCGCAUCCCGCCGGGGCUCAGCCUGAAGACCCGGGUGCAGCCGGGGUUUUGCAGCGCUGUGUGCGCGCUGUGCAAACAACAGCCCGGCUCUCAGGGACAGCAUGAUGGAAAGCACGCUUAAAGGAGAACAAAGAUGUCAAGAAGCAGGAACAAGAGCUCGUGAUUUAAUGCUGCAGGCCGGUUGAUUUUAUUUAAUGCUUUAAAGUGCUAUUUACACACUCGGUUUUUUUCCUUCACUUCUGUGACUUAAAAAAUAUCGCUGGAAGAAGGUCACCCUUUCCUAGGCACACAGCUCUUCCCCUCCAAGGGGUUCUUUAACAGGCAAACAUGCUACCCCGUGGUCCUACAGCUUGCACCACAAUUAAACCAAACUCUUGGCAAA